UACUGAAUCAUUGCCUAAUGCGCGAAAGCGUGAGCAUGCGACGCCGCGUGAGGGACGAAGGCCCUCGGGUUGUAAACCUCUGUCAGGGGUCAGGAAAUGAGGCUUUGCCUCUUGACCAGCCCCAAAGGAAGCACCGGCUAACUCCGUGCCAGCAGCCGCGGUAAGACGGAGGGUGCAAGCGUUGUUCGGAUUCACUGGGCAUAAAGAGCACGUAGGCGGCUUGUUAAGUCGGGUGUGAAAUCCCUCGGCUCAACCGGGGAAUUGCAUUCGAUACUGGCUCGCUUGAGGAUAGGAGAGGAGAGCGGAAUUCCUGGUGUAGCGGUGAAAUGCGUAGAUAUCAGGGAGAAGGUCGGCGGCGAAGGCGGCUCUCUAGACUAUUCCUGACGCUGAGGUGCGAAAGCCAGGGGAGCGAACG
rnacentral:rRNA from 1 species